rnacentral:rRNA from 1 species
GUCCACGCCGUAAACGAUGAAUACUAGGUGUUGGGUCGUAAGAUUCAGUGCCGCAGCUAACGCAUUAAGUAUUCCACCUGGGAAGUACGAUCGCAAGGUUGAAACUCAAAGGAAUUGACGGGGGCCCGCACAAGCAGUGGAGCAUGUGGUUUAAUUCGAUGCAACGCGAAGAACCUUACCUAGGCUUGAAAUGCAGGUGACCGGGUGUGAAAGCACCCUUCCCUUCGGGGCGGCCUGUACAGGUGCUGCAUGGCUGUCGU